GGAACUCGAUGUAGCCGACCACUAACACCUCGAUCCAUAUCAAUGUCGAGAUCGAGAACGGUAAUGGCUGCCCCAAGUAGGACGAUCCAUCUACAAGCUCCACCUGAUACAUUCCAAAUACCAAGCAAAUUGAAUAACAUAAGACUUUCAACAAUUUACAAAUCACUGAUUGGAUAAUAAUUAAUUUGUGUCAAAAAGUUACCCAUUUGACUGACCAUAAUCUCAAACAGGCUAACGCAAACGCCAGGAAAAAAAGAGACAGUCGCAGAGAGCAAAUGCAAAAUUAUCUCCUUUGUUGUGUUUAUUAGCUACAUUUCUACUAGAGUCACAAAUAACUAACUAACUAGCAUUUUCGGCGGUAAAAAUAACUAACUUACCUUGCCGGCGUCUUGCCAAGUAACGCCGGUGAGCCACUCGACGGAGAGAGCGCCGAGAGUAGCGAGCAUCGCCCACCGUCCGUGGAUCAGCUCGCAUUCCCUGAAUCUCUGGAUUCCGAACACCUCACUGUACGGCUGAAACGGCGUCGAUUUGGCGUCGGCAGCUUCCGUACGGGUUCCGAUCACGUCUCCGGCCAAGUUCUUCGCCAGAUUCUGGUCUAGUGAAUCGAUAUCGAAUUGGAGAUACUCGGCCGGUUUACCUAAA
rnacentral:lncRNA from 1 species